rnacentral:rRNA from 1 species
GAUGAACGCCGGCGGCGUGCCUAAUACAUGCAAGCCGAGCGAAUGGAUUGAGAGCUCGCUCUUAUGAAGUUAGCGGCGGACGGGUGAGUAACACGUGGGUAACCUGCCCAUAAGACUGGGAUAACUCCGGGAAACCGGGGCUAAUACCGGAUAACAUUUUGAACCGCAUGGUUCGAAAUUGAAAGGCGGCUUCGGUUGUCACUUAUGGAUGGACCCGCGUCGCAUUAGCUAGUUGGUGAGGUAACGGCUCACCAAGGCAACGAUGCGUAGCCGACCUGGGAGGGUGAUCGGCCAGCCUGGGACUGAGACACGGCCCAGACUCCUACGGGAGACAGCAGUAGGGAAUCUUCCGCAAUGGACGAAAGUCUGACGGAGCAACGCCGCGUGAGUGAUGAAGGCUUUCGGGUCGUAAAACUCUGUUGUUAGGGAAGAACAAGUGCUAGUUGAAUAAGCUGGCACCUUGACGGUACCUAACCAGAAAGCCACGGCUAACUACGUGCCAGCCGCCGCCGUAA